CUCACAGAGUCCAUAUUACAUCCCUUAUCAAGUAGGUUUCACAUGUUGGACUAUUUGGCAUGCAAGGGCCUAAAUUAAUUAAUUAAUUCAGAAGACUGGAAAUUCUUGACAAAGAUUUGCUUUUUAGUGAAUUGAAGCUAAUCAUGAAAAUGGUGUGGGGUGGCUUAAUGUUUUGUUGUGCUGGGGAUGAAGCCCAGAAGCUCUUGUAUAGUAGGGAAGGGCACUAGGACACGCAUACACACGCAUACACACGCAUACACACGCAUACACAUGGGAGGGAGGGAGGGAGGGGCCUAAGCCUCACCUCACUCAACUUUACCCAUGUGGCAAAAGUUAACAGCAGUUUCUUAUGGAAAAGAAAACAGGUAAUAUGACAUAAAGUAUAAGAUGGAUUUAGAAAUAAAGAAGUUAAGGCACUUAUUUCAAUGGGUUUGUUAUAUUAAGAGCAAAUAUGUUCAAUCUUUCUUUGAGGAAUUCCUCCCACCCACAUCCUGCAAACUCUGCCCCUCAGUGCAGCUUUACGGCUGACCCUUCAGCGCAGCUUUACGGCUGAUCCUAGCAGCGGCUCGGUUACCCAAGUAUAUAAUAAGUACUUAGAAUAGCAAGCAGUAGGACCUUUUACUUGUUACUCCACAAAUCACUAAAGAAAAAAGUUAAAUGCUUGCAACAACAUAGUGUUGUCUUAGUGACAGUCCAGAUGGAAGUGAAUCAACAUAUCUAUGAUACCUAAUAUUAUCAUUUCAGUCUUUUCUUCAUUUGUCUGCCCUUCUCUGCCCACUCCCUCCCCCCCCACCAUGGUGCUAGGAGCUGAACCCAGGGACUUGUGUGUGCUGGCCCAGCGCCAUGCUACUGAUUGACACAUCCUCAGCCAAUAGUGCCAUUUCUAUAAUACUUCUUCUUUCAGGUGAUGCUGAAUGAAAAAUUAAUUUUAAACCUUUUUUGGGGGGGUGGGGGUAGCUUUGGCUAUCCUGGUACACACUAUGUAAUCCAGACUGGCCUCGAACCCAGAGAACUGCCUGCUACUGCUCCUCCUGAAUGCUGGGAUUAAAAGAGUUCACCAUCAUGCCUGGGACUAAUUAUGAACUUUUAAUAAAAAAAUUCUUAGCUUACUGAUACAGCAAACAGAACAAAAACUAAAACUAACUUAGCACAUGUUAUGUCAAAAACUCAAUUCAUUUUAUAAGGGAAUUGAAAAAAAUCGUAUUACAAGGGAAAUACGGUUUAUACUUCCCCCUUUACAAUAUGUAAGCUGUUUCUGCAUGCUCUGAUCACAAGAAUGACCACAUGAGUACUCAGUGUGUAUUUGAGUAGCUGGUAAUUUUCAUAAAGCCUGAUGUUAAACACUAGUGACUACCAAGAUAUUCAGAGUUCAUCAGACAUACAGUGCCACAGCUGCAUGUUUAGUCAAAAUAAGCAUGAACAUUAGUGAACAGGACCAUUAGUGAACAGGACCAUUUACACUAAACGGGGAGGAGGGGGGAGAACAGAUGUCAGUUAAGCUCUAGACGUUACUCUAAGUGCACACACUUGAAAAAAAUUGUACAUAUACAUUACCAAAAAAAAGGAAAUAUUUUUCUUUCUAAUUUGGAGUUCUUAAAAUGCAAUUUUAUAGCAUUCUAAUAAAAUAAAAUUAUAGAACCUGUUCACAAAACAAUUUUAUCAUGUAAAGUUAAAUAUGCAUCUUAUUAAAACCAUUUCUCUACAGGCUUUUAUCUAUCCUGAAUCUCUUUAUGAGGCCAUAUUAAUUUAGAAUUUCUUCCCUACCCCCUCAAAAAACCACCAGGGUUUUACCUAUAGUGCUCUGUGUGCUGUCCUGGAACUCACUAUGUAGGCCAGGCUGGCCUCAAACUCAUAGAGAUUCACCUGCCUCUGCCUCGAAAGUGCUGGGAUUAAAGGCGUGAGGCACCACACUGGCUUACAAUUUCCUUUAAUGAUAAAAACAUGAAAAUACAUGAGGGAACGUAGCAUUUAUAGCACUGAACUGUGGAGAAGUUAACUCAACUCUCAGUGGUUUGCUCUUACACUGAAAAGCACCUGCAUACAUCUCCAGAAACUGCUGCACGCUAGUGCACACAUUGUUGUUGUGAUAGUGUUAAUAUGUUCAGAGAAAAUGUGGCUAGAUUGUAUGCUCC
rnacentral:lncRNA from 1 species